rnacentral:rRNA from 1 species
ACGACGCUGGCGGCGUGCUUAACACAUGCAAGUCGAACGAGAGGACAAGAGAAGCUUGCUUCUUUUGGAAUCGAGUGGCAAACGGGUGAGUAACACGUAAACAACCUGCCUUCAGGAUGGGGACAACAGACGGAAACGACUGCUAAUACCGAAUACGCUUGGAAGACCGCAUGAUUUUCCAAGGGAAAGGGUGGCCUCUACCUGUAAGCUAUCGCCUGAAGAGGGGUUUGCGUCUGAUUAGGCAGUUGGUGAGGUAACGGCCCACCAAACCUACGAUCAGUAGCCGGUCUGAGAGGAUGAACGGCCACACUGGAACUGAGACACGGUCCAGACUCCUACGGGAGGCAGCAGUGGGGAAUCUUCCGCAAUGGGCGAAAGCCUGACGGAGCAACGCCGCGUGAGUGAUGACGGCCUUCGGGUUGUAAAGCUCUGUGAUCGGGGACGAACGGUCCGUAAGCUAAUACCUUAUGGAAGUGACGGUACCCGAAUAGCAAGCCACGGCUAACUACGUG